GCUGUUGGCAUCUCGGACUGUGGUUCCUGGAUGGAAACAGUGGCUGGUGGGACCUGGACUUACACCACACGACUUCUGCUGUCACAGUGAAGUCUGCC
rnacentral:miRNA from 1 species